rnacentral:rRNA from 1 species
GAAUGCUGACAUAAGUAACGAUAAAGCGGGUGAAAAGCCCGCUCGCCGGAAGACCAAGGGUUCCUGUCCAACGUUAAUCGGGGCAGGGUGAGUCGACCCCUAAGGCGAGGCCGAAAGGCGUAGUCGAUGGGAAACGGGUUAAUAUUCCCGUACUUGGUGUUACUGCGAAGGGGGGACGGAGAAGGCUAUGUUGGCCGGGCGACGGUUGUCCCGGUUUAAGCGUGUAGGUGUGUGUUCCAGGUAAAUCCGGUCCACUUUAACACUGAGGCGUGAUGACGAGGCACUACGGUGCUGAAGCAACAAAUGCCCUGCUUCCAGGAAAAGCCUCUAAGCAUCAGGUAACAUCAAAUCGUACCCCAAACCGACACAGGUGGUCAGGUAGAGAAUACCAAGGCGCUUGAGAGAACUCGGGUGAAGGAACUAGGCAAAAUGGUGCCGUAACU